UGCUAAUGUAUUGUUGUGACAUACAAUAUUCCCAGUGCAUUGAUUAUAGAGGCUUACUGUAUUUGUCCUCUUUAGUUAGAACAUAAAAAUACUUUUGAAAAAUCUAUUAACUUUAGAUUGAAGCCAUGUGCCAUUUGGAACACACUGAAUCCAGUCUUCUAAAAGCAUUGAGUGACUUAGUGAUCCUUAAUUUCAAAUUUAUCUUUCCAAUGUAAUUAAUUCCUCAGCAGAGUUCAGAAACAAGGGAGCAGCAUGAAACAGUUCUAUCAAACCAACUCCAUAGUACAUCAUCAUACGAAGCAGCACAGCAGCAGCCUGCAGGAAAUACAAGGCUGUCUUGUCAUUGUUGCCUGUCAUUCAGUGCACUGAUUUGCUUGUCUCAGAGAACGAGAGGACCUCUUCCACUGGAAAUACCAUGUCUCCCUCUCAUUUCCCUCUCUUCUGGUAAUCUCCUUGGCCCUUUCAAAAGAUACAGGUCACAUGAACCCCAGGAAAAGCUGUUUCAAGUCAGAAUGGAGUCCAGUCCAGAAAUGAGGUCAAAUGCAAUUAUGGAUAGAAUAACUGCAUAAUUAAAGUUACAUACUAGUGGCAUUGGAAAUAAACUGAAAGGAAGAAAGAGACUCCUGAGCUAC
rnacentral:lncRNA from 1 species